UACGGGGGAUGCGAGCGUUGUCCGGAAUCAUUGGGCGUAAAGAGUUCGUAGGUGGUAUGUUAAGUCAGGUGUUAAAGGCGUAGGCUCGACUUACGUAGGGCACUUGAUACUGGCAGACUUGAAUGCGGUAGAGGUAAAGGGAAUUCCUGGUGUAGCGGUGAAAUGCGUAGAUAUCAGGAGGAACAUCGGUGGCGUAAGCGCUUUACUGGGCCGUAAUUGACACUGAGGAACGAAAGCGUGGGGAGCAAAC
rnacentral:rRNA from 1 species